rnacentral:rRNA from 2 species
AAGAGUGANCUAGNUAACUGAAAUCGUUUUUUUCGUGUAUGCGGUGAAAUGCGAUAAUGUAAAGGACAAAAUAUGAUAUUACUNNACUAUAAGUGUUGNCCAAAUCUGGUGCCAGAAGACUCGGUAACGCCAGAAACGCGAACGUUAGUCACAUUAACCAGGCGUAAGGGGUNCGUAGGCAGUUUAAAAGUUAAAUUUUUAUAUAGCUAUCNAANUAUAUAGAACAUNUGAGGAUAAGCCGAAUAAUGCUUAGAGUAGGGANUAAAUCCUUAGAUACUAGGUGGAANACUAAUGGUGAAAGCUUUUUAUCUAAUAAUGAUCGACNCUGAGGAACGAAGGUGAGAAUAGAAAAUAGGANUAGAGACCCAGAUAUCUCUCACUGUCAACGAUGAAUGGUGGAAUGUUAGUUUUAAUNACUAGUACCGAUGUUAACGCGAUAACCAUUCCGCCUUGAGAGUACGGUCGCAAGACUGAAACCCAAAAAAUUAAUCGGUCUCGAANCAAACGAA